rnacentral:rRNA from 1 species
CGUGGGCAACCUGCCUGUAAGACUGGGAUAACUUCGGGAAACCGAAGCUAAUACCGGAUAGGAUCUUCUCCUUCAUGGGAGAUGAUUGAAAGAUGGUUUCGGCUAUCACUUACAGAUGGGCCCGCGGUGCAUUAGCUAGUUGGUGAGGUAACGGCUCACCAAGGCAACGAUGCAUAGCCGACCUGAGAGGGUGAUCGGCCACACUGGGACUGAGACACGGCCCAGACUCCUACGGGAGGCAGCAGUAGGGAAUCUUCCGCAAUGGACGAAAGUCUGACGGAGCAACGCCGCGUGAGUGAUGAAGGCUUUCGGGUCGUAAAACUCUGUUGUUAGGGAAGAACAAGUACAAGAGUAACUGCUUGUACCUUGACGGUACCUAACCAGAAAGCCACGGCUAACUACGUGCCAGCAGCCGCGGUAAUACGUAGGUGGCAAGCGUUAUCCGGAAUUAUUGGGCGUAAAGCGCGCGCAGGCGGUUUCUUAAGUCUGAUGUGAAAGCCCACGGCUCAACCGUGGAGGGUCAUUGGAAACUGGGGAACUUGAGUGCAGAAGAGAAAAGCGGAAUUCCACGUGUAGCGGUGAAAUGCGUAGAGAUGUGGAGGAACACCAGUGGCGAAGGCGGCUUUUUGGUCUGUAACUGACGCUGAGGCGCGAAAGCG